UCGCACUACGCACGCGCGAACGUCUAACCGCCAAGUGCAAUAUUUGAAUAAGAAAACUCGAUCUACCGGUACUACCGUUUUGCUGUUGAUAAGUCCGUCGAUAAUUCAUCAAAAACUAAAGGAACACGGGUCAGAUUCGGACAGCGACUUCAAAGUCAUUUGUAGAAGGCUAUAACAUUUGGACGACGGAUACACUGGAUGAUAAGGUAGAUGAUCCAGCCUUAUCUUGGAAUGACACGACGGGUGUUGAACACAGAAAACGUACCGUGUACAAGAAACAAUUGAAGUUUAUGAAAGCUUCAAGGAAUUAAU